rnacentral:rRNA from 1 species
GACGAACGCUGGCGGCGUGCUUAACACAUGCAAGUCGAACGGAAAGGCCCUGCUUGCAGGGUACUCGAGUGGCGAACGGGUGAGUAACACGUGGGUGAUCUGCCCUGCACUUCGGGAUAAGCUUGGGAAACUGGGUCUAAUACCGGAUAGGAACCAUCUUUAGUGUGGUGGUUGGAAAGUUUUUUCGGUGUAGGAUGAGCUCGCGGCCUAUCAGCUUGUUGGUGGGGUAAUGGCCUACCAAGGCGGCGACGGGUAGCCGGCCUGAGAGGGUGUACGGCCACAUUGGGACUGAGAUACGGCCCAGACUCCUACGGGAGGCAGCAGUGGGGAAUAUUGCACAAUGGGCGCAAGCCUGAUGCAGCGACGCCGCGUGGGGGAUGAAGGCCUUCGGGUUGUAAACUCCUUUCGCUAGGGACGAAGCUUUUUGUGACGGUACCUAGAUAAGAAGCACCGGCGAACUACGU